CUUAUGGUGAUGAAAACUUUGAUAGGGACAUCUGAUGUCUAUGAUUGAUUUAUCUUUUAUUUAAAACUGAAAUU
rnacentral:snoRNA from 1 species